CCAGACUUCAGGAAAACAUUGUUUUUCAGGUUCAAGAGGCCCAGUGAAUUAUAAGCAGAAUAAAUAAAUCACAUUCAUAAAAAAGAAAUAGCAUUUAGACAUAUUGCAGGGAAAUUUUAUUUAUUACCUCCCAAAUAAAUAGAUAUAUUGAUAGAAAGACAGAGCAAUGAAGGUCACCUCCAAGGGAACAAUGAGUAGAUUAGCAGCUGAUUUCUCAACAGCAGCAAUAGGAAUCAGAAGACAGCGAAAGCAUACCUUCAAAGUGUCAACAGAAGAUGACUUUCAGCUUAUAACAGUGUACCCAGCAAAACUGUGUCAAAAUGAGAGUGGAAUAAGUAUGUUUUCAGAUAAAGAAGAGCAUUUUAUGACCAAAAAUCCUCCUAAAAUUUUUUUUAAAGGAUGCAUUUCAGGAAGAAGGAAAGUCUGAGAUGAAGCAGGAAAGAUUUCUAGAGAAACUGGUGUGCAUGUGCACAAAUUUAAACAUUGAAUGUAAAAAUAGCAAAAUGAGCCAGCUAAAAAUAAGGGCUGCAAAUUACUUUCCUGUUUUCUUCUCUAAGUUUUCUAAUUUUGAUACUAUAAAAGUUCUAUGGAUAAAAUAUACAGUAAAAUAAAAACAGGUAUGCUGCUGUAUGUCUGCUUGUGUAUAUGGUCAAGAAAAUUAAAAUUUAAAAAAUUAAACUGUCCUUUUGAAAUACCUGAGGUCUUAACAUUAAGACUCUUUGUUUUAGGGAAGUAAUAAUUUAGUUGUAACAAUACCAGCUAGGAAGUUAGGAACUAUUCUAGCUUCUUAAAAACCAUGGUGAAAAGGAAAGAGGAAACUGUUGUGCAGGCUGCAUGUUCCCUACAAUUUUUCUAGUGCAUACCCCUUUUUUGCGCCUGCAGUGCUCUCUUUUAAAUACUUCUGCAUGUAUGUUAGAUCAGUAAAAAUGUAGAACAUUAAUUUUAUAGAGAACUAAACAAAAUUAUAGCCCAGUUCCAUAAGCAAUCAGGAAUGAUGCACACCACAAUAACUCAGGAAAAUUAUUUCAAAUUUGUCCUAAUAGAUUUAAAGCAUAGUCACAUUCAAGAUUUCAUUUGAAAAAUGUUUUAGAUAUGCCAUUUGAGGUAAGUAAUGAUUUUGGUAUUAGCAAAACACUUCGCUACUUAUUCAUUUCUUAUUAUGUCAUUCUUUGUGGUAGCAGAAACUUCCCUAUUCAGAUGGAACUUACGUUGGGCACUCUCUAGAACUUUCUAGUGAAUACCAUUUCUCAAAGGUUUACAAAAUGUGAGGAACAAUCCAAAAAUAUGCCUUUGUUUUUAUAGAAGUCUCAGCAGGAGGGGGGAAAGACACAAAGGAGAAAAUGUAGUGACAUCACCAAGGUGGCACCAAGAAUGACAGCAUUGUUCUUACUUUGGUCCCCUACACAAGAACAACUAACAAACAAUUAUUCGAGAACAAGAGGACACUGAGAGAAUCUUAGAAGAUGGGGGUGAGGCUGAAGCACCUCCCUGUAACUGACAGACCAAGACAGACUACAUUAGAAGGGUAAGGGCAACACUACAUGUUGUCUGCAUUGCCCCUCCCCUAGGACAGCACAGGACCAUGCAGAGAGGUCUGUCCUGAAGCUCUGAUUCCCCCAGUGAGAACCCAGGGGGACAACCAGCCUCCCCAACGAAGUGGUUCAUUUUGUGUGAGCCUCUAAUCUGAUCUCAUACCGUAAGGAUUGCAGAAGAAUAUGCAGGGCUCAGCCACUGGGAAUCUGAAUGUGACAGGAGGGGAAUGGUCUUGCAACUACCAGUACCUGGAUCUUGGAAGACUGAGUUCAUACUGGCAGUGCCCAAGUGGUAAUACCAACCAGUAAAUUUGCUUACCUACAGAACCAAGUUGGAGAUGGACCCUCACCCAGGAACUUGGAAGGGUGCAGAUGUGCCUGAAUUGGAUCCUUAAGCAAAGAGUUUUUGCUGGCCCUAGAGCCGAGUUUGUGCAUACCUAAGCAAUGGGUUGAGUCAGAGCCCUACAUGCUGUGGAGAGUGACUCCAUCUGAGAAGAGGGCUGGUGACAACUGGAAGUUAUGCAGUCCAGUGGUGCUCUAGCUGAGAGACAAGCUGGUAGAGCUGAUUGUUCCAGAGCAAAGCCAGUGCAGAUCAUGGACUGUUCCCAUAUUAUGCACAGGCAGGGGCAUUAAUUCACAGACAGUGCUGAGAGUAGCUCCAUCCCCUCACAACCAGAGUGCCUAUUUGGGAAAUUGAGGAUAGCCUAGUGUCUCUCCUUCCUCUCCUACCCAGGCAAAGGGACUGAGUCAUACCCUAACCUGCUGUGGAGUGUGUCUUCUAGUCCCAUCUACCAUAAAGGCUGGCAAAAACAUCUGAGAGCUAUGUGGCCCAGCAGUACUCACACUGAGAGAAGGGCAGACAGAACUGAUAGUUUGAAGAACAAAGCCAGUGGCUCUGUUUGGCCAGGGAACUUGGUAUGUGAGUCACCUUGAGUUAAGACAACA